UACAUGCAGUCGACGCUUUUUCUUUCACCGGAGCUUGCUCCACCGAAAGAAAAAGAGUGGCGAACGGGUGAGUAACACGUGGGUAACCUGCCCAUCAGAAGGGGAUAACACUUGGAAACAGGUGCUAAUACCGUAUAACACUAUUUUCCGCAUGGAAGAAAGUUGAAAGGCGCUUUUGCGUCACUGAUGGAUGGACCCGCGGUGCAUUAGCUAGUUGGUGAGGUAACGGCUCACCAAGGCAACGAUGCAUAGCCGACCUGAGAGGGUGAUCGGCCACACUGGGACUGAGACACGGCCCAGACUCCUACGGGAGGCAGCAGUAGGGAAUCUUCGGCAAUGGACGAAAGUCUGACCGAGCAACGCCGCGUGAGUGAAGAAGGUUUUCGGAUCGUAAAACUCUGUUGUUAGAGAAGAACAAGGAUGAGAGUAAAAUGUUCAUCCCUUGACGGUAUCUAACCAGAAAGCCACGGCUAACUACGUGCCAGCAGC
rnacentral:rRNA from 1 species